GACUACUAUAUUAUUUUUCAAACAAUCCCAGUUGUGAUUUCACGUUUUUCCCCACAGGGGGCGUCAUCACUAAAUACACCUGCUGAGGUCCUGACACACAGUAGCCAUGCAAUGUACUUGCACACUGAUCAUACCGUCAUUGCUCUAAAGAUACUGUUAUCUUUACUGCCCUACUACUGUCUUCAUAUGUAUUAUGUUGCUGGGGGCAGAUCGAGACGUAGUGGACAGCACACGUCCCCUGGAGGACGGCUGGUAUGGGUAAGGCCUAAGAAUCAAAAGAUGUGGUUAAACACGACGUCAACUUCUACUCAUGGUAAACGUUCGCUUUGAUACAUACACUUUUUCACCUGGCUCCUUACAACUGCACGAAAACAUCAGACAGCCACCUCCGCACAGGGCAAGUAUGGCCGACGACCAGCCAAUGUACAAACCUUCUCCGAUCUCGUACCUGUGUCACAGUGAAAUUGCACAAAAUGAUCUGAUUUGUGUCUUGUUAAACUUCAAAAUCAAUCAAGUAUGCACUCUUACUUUGUCCCUGGGUAGAACUGGUCAAAGAAUUCCUGUGUGAUGUUGGCUGCAUACCAAGAUAUAGCGAUCAUGGUGCACAUCCCUAGAAAAGUCCACAACAUUUUUUUUAACACAAGGGGAAAACAACAAAUUACCAGACCUACGAUUUUACAUAUAAAAAAAAAAAGAUGUUUAUGGGAUAUUUUUUUGCAUAAUGUGGAAAUUAAUAGUGAAUGUUUUAAAAUGAAUGUGCAAUUAAUUUUCUUAUCUACACACUGUCCCUUUAAUGGCACAACUAAGUUUAGUGCAACAUUAGCUGACUGCAUGCGAUGUAUAUGCCUUUACACUGUACAGGCAAACAAGUGAUAAUAACCCUUGACCAGGUUUAAGAUAGCUUGUCUCCUGUACAUAGAUUAGAGUACCUGACAUGUUAGCUUUUCGGGUGUUGGAGGUAAUAGUGAAAAGGUUAAUUUGUGCUAUGGAAAGAAUUAAAAUCUAUGUAACAUUGACUUCGUGAGAUUGUUGUGGAAUCUGAGGAGUUGUUUUUUCCCCCAUGAUUACGCCAAAGCCACUUGACCUAUUUGCACUUCACUUUGUGGAGGGGUGGGGCACAGGAAUAGGAAAACAUGGUUUGUUUUGAUCAACACAUUUUUUUCAAAUCUCAAUUUCUGUAAUAUCACUCGAUUUUUUAAAGACAGAAUUUAGGAAGUGGAGGUGUAGGAUUUGUUUCAAAUGUUGGCCUUUCUGCUCUGUUAUGCACCACUGAAGUUCAUAAUUGUUUUUGUUCUUACCCUGUAGUAAGAAGAACACCCCUCCAAUUGCUGCAAUCCUCCCCUUUAGAAUGUAGUUUUCUCCUCCAAUUUUGGAGCACUGCAUUCCAACCAGAGUUCCCACCAGCCCAAACGUCCCGAACACAAUGGAAGCAAUCAUCAGUGCUCGAGAUGCUUGGAUGUACCCUGCACACAAACACAAAUGAUGAGUUUAUUGGAGUCGACACAUUAAAAGUUUUGAACACAUACCGCUUAGUGCGAGCAACGAAGGAAAAUCGCGGCAGUUGUGAAUUCCUAUCGAGUCAGUGGCACAGGACAUCCAGAGAUUCUCAUAGAUGGUGGAC